CAGGGAUUGAGAGUGUUUUCUCCUUUCUGGAGAUCUAUUUUGUCAUUACUUUAGCUGACAGCAGCUGGGGAGAAUAAAACACUUUGGUUAGCCUCAAACACCUGGCUAAGUUUCCCUAGGUUGAAGCACAGCAAUGUUUUAUUACAGCUGACACCAAUCAAGGCAAAUGGACAAAAGUGAGCAUUUUGAUUUUGGGAUCCAUGAAAGAAGGGGAUAAGUGAAGUGAAUUUGGACUCGCUGGACGAAGGAAGGGCAGGUCCUUCCCCAGCCCCUGUUGCUCUAAAUCACCUCAGAACAUCCUCGUGAAGCACUGAGCCCCAGGAAAACAUUACAAGGCAGCAGUGAUCAGCCUCGAUGGCCAGCCACAACAGCACGAUAACAGCCCUUCAGCCAUCGACGCAUCCUUAAAGGCAUCACUGGGCAGGGGAUUUUUAAAGCAAGAUGUGAUGAGGCUGAGCUCAGUUCUAUGGCAGCAAAGCCCCUGCCAUCAGAGGAGCAACCCCAGAUUAACAUCGGUGGGAAUCAGCCCUGCAGCACCGACAGGGAGCCACAAUGGGGCUGGAGCAAGCAUCUGUGUUGACUUGCUCGUGUGAAGAGGAGCGGGAAAUGUUUGCAAUGAAAUGUGAAACUGUUUGAAAUUCACGGUUUGUCACAGCCCAUUGUGAAUUCAGGAACAGGCCCUUUUUUUUCAAAGGAAUUUUUUUGUGAUGGCAUAUUAAGAAAAAACAGGCCACUUUCUAGUAAAAAUGGCGAGAGAAGCAAGCCUGCUCCUGAGUGAUGCUUUGAUAAUAUGAGCCCAUUUUCCAUGGCUUUGGCAUUAAAAAUACAGAGAAGCACACACUGUCCAAAAUCUGCACAGAAAACAACCGUGUUGUCAAAGCUGUGAACAAAGGGAAAUGGGAGAAAAGAGGAGAAACUCAUUUAUAUCCUUCUUCAGGAGAACACUACCUAGAUAUCUGCUUGUGUUAGGGAAUCUCAGGACUUGGUCCACGUAUUUGUGCACUGGAGAAGGAAAGUCCUGAGGGCUACACCCAGGUCACAGCAGGUUUCAGUGCUCUGACCUAGCAUUAAGCUGGUUGGUUUCUGUCAAAGAAUUACACCGGUUUUCCUGUUCGCUCCUGUGGUAUUAAUAGCAGCAAAAUCAAGUUGCCAGCAAUCCCCACGCCUUGUGCAUCCGAACCAACCCCACAUUGCUGUGCUACAGUGAUUGAAGUAUGGGGAUUUGUUUGGGAGGAUAAAGCAAAACCUUGCUUUGUUUUCCUGCUGUCCUAAAUUUCACCCAAGUAGCUUUGCCUCAGCGCUUUGAACUUUGCAUAGCUCUUUGAAAUUAUAAUAGGGGGGAAAAAUUAAGGAAAAAAAAAAAAAAAAGCGUGUUUUUUGUUUGUUUGUUGUCCCAAAAGCAGGAGAGGGCCUUGCUAGAGCUUAACCCCUGAGCCCCCCGGACAGUGUGGGGCAGGGGAUGCAGGAGGCACGGGGCACUCCUCGGGUCCUGCCGGUGUUUGCGUGACUUAACAGUGACAUCCAGCGGUCACCGGGCUCCGCUGUCUUGUCCCGGUGCAAGCCCAGCCAGACCUCGGAGCAUCAAAUAAUCUUCAAAUCAUCCCGCUUUUUCCUCGGUUUUAUAACCCCGCGUGUUUGCAGUAUCGAGAAUAUUGUUCAUAAUUAAGCUUCGAUAAAUGUAAAAAUAAAUCAAAACCCUGUUAAACAUUGAAUCGCAGAAACUUUUCCUUCUAGUGGUUAUUGCCCUAAACAGAAAAAUAAGCAGUUUUCAUCUCAAGUUUAACAUUGCAGACAUAUCUUCACAUGAUAAUUUGGUUUUCAAAAAAAGUCUAACUGUGAAGUUUAAUGAUACCACAUGAAGCAGCUUGUCAGUUCAUAUUUAUAUUCAAAUCUGAGCCUUCACAGUUCCCAGUGUGUUUCUUUAGUAUUUUGUUGAAGAUAUUCUGACAGUCUUUCUCAAAACUGUCUCUGGGAGAAGCAGCAUGAAAACCUGCAAGGAAACAAAAAGCUUCCUACACUUCUGGCUCAGGGUUUUGAUGCUCGAGGAGGAGACUUCUAUCUCCCACCCACGCGUGAGGCUGAGGCUCGGAGGCUCAGACACUUGGCUGCCGCAGCGCAGCCCUUCUGGCUGUGCCUUUCAUGUCCUACGAGUGAUGGGCAAAGGACCGGAGGAGUCUCCUGAGGUUAAAUAGAUGGAAAUUCGCAGCAUGGGAAGCUGCAGCCACCAGCACCUCUCAAUCCUCCCAUAGAGGUCAGGUGCCAGUCCAGGGGCUCCCCUCUGCUCUUUCGGUCUCCCCAUCCUGGCUGCAAGCCCAGCUGGUUGUGUAUAGGAAGAGGAAGAGGAAUUUGGCUGUGGGUUUCCUCACGCUGCUCUCAGCACUGAGAUGGAUGCAUUCUCCAGCCUCCUGCCUUCCAGGACCUGCCUUAGCACAGGUAGCAGAGCCUGAGCCAUUACUCAUCAUCUGCUGCUCGGCGGUGAAGAAUGGAGGUCACUUCCCUGCUGACAGGGCUUGGAGAGAGGAGGUCUUCCUCCUGCCCUCGUCCUGGGUGGGGGCACGUCACCCAGCCCAGACUGGCUGCUUUGUUUAAAGGAUUUCUGUCUGCAUAAAAGCCACACGCACUCCAAAUGGCUCCCCUGUUGCUCUCCAAACCCCUUCAC